AUAUCUAAAUGAGUUCCACCUUUGUCAGGAGGGAGCAGAUAUGGUCCAUUAUAAAGCUUCAGCAACCUGGGGAAGCAAAAGCCUCUCACCGUGUUCCAGGGAGCCACAGUGGAGAUUGCCAUCCUGUGAAUUAGGAAGUGCUUAAGUGUAAUGCCAGCCUAAUCCCCUGCAUUGUAAAGUGGGCUGGCAGUGCAGUUUUGCUCCAUCAUUCAAAACUACAUGUGAGCCUCCAAACCCUGGAAGUAGAUCUAGAAAGCAACCUACAUCCACUGAAGUGCUGCCCAAGACUGAGGAAUGGUGGUGGUAGAGGAAGAUGAUAGAGAUCAAUUGUGGCUCCUGAGACCCUCUGCAGAUGCAACAGGACCUGUAACUUGUUCUCCUCAUACUCUUGAGUUCAGCCCUUGCAGAGCUGGUGCCCGGCUGCCACCUUAGUCUAGAAGCAAACGCCCACUUUAGAGCCAGCUCCUUAAUACUGACUGCUUUGGAAUUAACAUGAGAGGAAGCAUGUUUGGGAGUGCCCUGUAGAUUAUUACCCAUGGAUUGAACCGAGCAGAGGAAGGACUGAACUGUAAUGCAGCCCCAGCUAAGUCCUCAGCAGAUCCCACAGGUGGCAAUUGAACAAUGAGAACACUUGGACACAGGAAGAGGAACAUCACACACCAGGAUUUUUUUUUUUAAAGGAGAGAUGUAGCUGAGCAAAUAGUGGACAAAUUAAACUGCUUCAGAUCUACAUGAGAAGUAGUGACUUAUAAUGUACAUACAAUUAAAACAUCUUUUAUCUUAAAUAUACAUGUAAAUAUCCACAAUUAUAGCUCAUAUAUAUUAAUUAUAAGUGCAAUGCAUAAUUAUAAUAUAUCCAUAAUAUAAUAAGUAUGAUAAUAUAAACAAAGAAAGUUUAGGGAAAUAUCCUUUUUCCCAAGAAGAAAGAACAUUCAUGUUCUAGUAUAUGCCAAUAGCAAUAUAGACUGCAAGACAAGCUAGUUAUACCUUAUGCAACAGGAUUCAUGCCAAAAGAGAACACAAGAAUAUAAAUUUCUAAAAUAAAAAAAUUAAAUUUAAAUAUUUAAAACGCAAAGUUAUUUGAAAAUAAUUUUAAAAUGAAAACGGCUGCAAAGAUUUUUAAAGACGCAUUUAGAAAGCCUGCUGUGUCUUCAAACAUUUUUCCUAUUUGGUAGUGGAAUAAAGAUUUCAAGCACAAAUUUACCCAUGACUGUUUUGCUGAGCAAACUUAAUGCCACAUCCUUGUUCAUUACUUUUUCAGGCUCCUACCCAUUGCUUCUCUCCCUUUAAUUUCCCACCAUGCACACUGGCCCAUUUGGUGAGAAGAUCUAUUCUGUGCUCACAUGUACAAAGGUGAUGUAUUGGCAGCUUCAGCCUCCAAAGGUUUUUCUCAUUACUGAAUUCCCAGUAGCUAUUUCUCUACAUUGUAAUUGGAUAGUACUUUUUAGGAGCAAGUGUCCAGGGCAUAGAGUGCCACAAACACUAGGUGCAUUCUAGAGAAAUGAGGAGAUGAUAUCCAUGAAUAGCAGAGGAUCAUAGACAAAUGCAUUCCCCAAGGUGAGGGGAAACAAUCAAUAGCUGAAAUGAGAAAAGCUGGCUUCAGUGGUGUGCUGAUUGAGAAGAGAGCCUUCCCAUUAAGCCAGAGUGACCUGUGACGCUCAAUUAGUGAAUGCAAUCCAUGCACCUUUUUCAUUGCAUAAUUAAAGACCUAUACCUGACCUCUCCAUGUCUUCAAAUCUGCAAUCUUUACACACACACACACACACACACACACACACACACACAGAGAUACUUGUUUCCCAAUUAUUAAUACUCUUAAUUAUUCAACAAUGAUGCCUAUUUAAACACCUAAUGGAUUAUUUGAUUUUAAUAGUUAAUAAUACCAUGUCAAAUGAUAAAGAUCAAUUAUUUUUCAGAACAAUAUAUUUUUAAUUAGGCAUUUUGAAAAGUAUUAUGUUUAGGAAACUGUACCCAUGAUAAUGACUGAAUUCUGUUAAAAAUGACGUGCUGAAUCAGUGGCUGAUUCUCAGUAGAAGGAUUGAAAUGAUCAUGGUUUAUGUUCAUUGAUUCACUGAACACAUACUUAAAGGUGCUUGCGAGGUAUCAGGCAUGAUUAUGGUGAAAAGCGGGCAAAGGUAAAUAGGUCUCUGCUCUCCAAAAGAAAGAGCAACGCUAAGCUGAGCAUUACAGUGCUUGGGGAAUGUCGCACACAGCAGGGAAAGCCCACCGGAGUCUACUCAUGCUAUCAUACGUGCAUGCCCAAAUACACACAUUGUGGUCUUCAAGAUUAUCAUAUUUACCCAUAGGAUAUUCAUUGCAGUUAUGCCUAAAAUAGAAAACAGACAGAUGAGAACUGAUGUUAAGCAUUAAAAAAUUCAGCCAAGAGUAAUUUUCAGUAGAAAACCAAAGAGAAUGUUGUGUUGUAAAAGAGCAUACUAUGAUAUAAUUUCUGAGAAUAGAUUCCUGUUCUAGUUAUCAUAAUUAGCAUAUAUCUUAUGCUAUGUGCCUAAAUGACACAUUAUUAUCAUUAAUAUAAUAAAUGAUUAUCUUUGUUAAUUUGCCAUAAGCAAAGUUUGGUUAUAGGAAUUAACAAAAAUCUCCCAUAUUCCAAAAGUGUGCCCCAUAAUACUUACCUAUAAAGAAUAUAGAAGUUUUUAGGUUCUAUCAGAUUAUAUAGAAAUAAAAUAUUUGUAAGAAAAUCACAUAAAAUUUUUAAUUGUAUCAAAAAUCACAUAUACAAUUUAUCACUUUAAUCAUUUUUAACUCUACAGCGUAGGAGUUUUUGUUUUGUUUUGUUUUUGAGAAGGAGUCUUGCUCUCUUGCCUAGGCUGGAGUGCAGUGGCACGAUCCCGACUCACCGCAACCUCUGCCUCCCAGGUUCAAGUGAUUCUCCUGCCUCAGCCUCCUGAGUAGCUGGGACUACAGGCAUGCACCAUCAAACCUGGCUAAUUUUUGUAUUUUUAGUAGAGAUGGGGUUUCACCAUGUUGGCCAGGCUGGCCUUGAACUCCUGACCUCAGGUUAUCCACCUGCCUUGGCCUCCCAAAUUGCUGGGUUUACACACGUGAGCCACAGUGCCCAGCAGCAUAGGAGUUUUAGGUAUGUAUACAUCGUUGUGAAACAGAUCUCCAGAACUUUUUCAACUCACAGAACUGAAACUCCAUAAUAUAUCCAUUAAACAACAAUUCUCCUUUGCCUACACUCCCUAUCCACUGGUAACUACCACUCUACUUUUCAUAUCUAUGAGUUUGGCUACUUUAGAUACCUCUUAUAAUUGGGAUCAUAUAGUAUUUGUGCUUUUGUGCCUAGCAUAUUUCACUGAACAUAAUAUCCUCGAGGUUCCUUCGUGUCAUAGCAGGUGUCAGAAUUUCCUUCCUUUGUAAGGCUGCAUCGUGUUCUAUUGUAUAUACAUACCAUAUUUUGUUUAUCCAUUAGUCACAUCACAAAUAGUUUUAAUUAAUUUUAAUAUACUUUCAUUUUUCCCCUAGUUUUUCAGAGUAAUACUUGUUCAUUUUAGGACAUUUUAAAAAAUAGAAAAAUGAAUAAAUAAUUAUUUUCAAAUUUUAUAAUUCUAGUAUCCAAUGCUAAUCACUAAAAUUUUAUAUAUUUCCUUCAUAAUAGUAUACAUAUAUUUUCUUUGCUGUUGUUUUCUGCUUACUUAUAAUAAUAAUUUUCACAUGUGAAUGCAUGAUCUUACUAAAAUUUAUUUAACCAUUCUUCUAGGACACCAAAUAGAAAGCACUUGGUGUGACAGGAGAGAGAGAAUGGAAGCUUACAUUGAAUGAUCCAGUGGGGAUAUAAAGAAGUGAAUAAUAUUUGAGAAAUAUAGUCUUUUUGUGAGCCUGAGUUUCGUCACUUUCUUCCAAUAGUUUGCAUACAUUUUUAAUGGUUUCCAGUUUUGAAAUAUUUUAUUAAAUUUUUAAUAAGGCUUAUUUUAAAGUAGAAUUAAACCAGUUAUUACUAGUGGGAAGAAAGUUUGCAGACUAGUUAUAUUUAUCUUUUCUAGGGUUUUACUGAUGGAUAUUAAAAUUAUAAAACAAAUAUGUAUCUUUGAUUGUCUAGAACUACAAUCACCUUAAUAAUUAAGUCAUCAUCUGUAUGUUACUGACUUUGCUACAUAUUUCAAAGC
ensembl:lncRNA novel transcript